GUAAUCUCUUCUUUAUCUCAAUCAAAACGUCGUGUAGGAUCAUUUGCGGUAAAAGGUUGAAUAAGUGGAAAAUAAGUAUAUUGGAUAUAUAUUCCGUUUUGGCGAGCGCAAGCUCGCUCUUCACUAAAUAAGUUAUGGAGCAGAGCAGAAAUCGCUCGAAUAAAAAUGAAGACAUAGUCUGAACCAUUUUGUGAAAAAUGGAAAUAAAAUUUAUUAUGAUAACAUGUAGAACAGGCUAAUUUGCGCAAGAGUGUACAAAAUGAGUGCGCGGUUUGGCACCUCGAUGUCGGCUUAACUUAUCCUCAUGGAUGCAGAAACUAUGUAGGGUACGACUGUUCGUCGAUUAAAAAGUUACAUGAGCUGGGUUAAAUACGUCGUGAGACAGUAUGGUUUCUAUCUUCUAGAGGGAAUUUGAAUAAAAUAAGGAUUAACCUUUGUACGAAAGGAACAGGAAAAACUUAACCUAAAAAGUUAGGUUAUAUUAAUUGUUAACCUCUGGUUUACCUGUUGUUUAUAAGCCCAAUAUUAAAAGUGUUAAGCCCAACUACUAUGUAUACGUCAAUAGACGGAGUCUGAUACAUGGUAUGCUUAAUUCGGGGGAUGUUACUUUCACUUAAGUAAAUUUAUAUUAUAGGCACGGCAGGAAAGCUAAGUUAGUUAAAGAUAAGUGCUGAAAGCAUAUAGGCACGAAGCUUACCUUAAGAUAUUUCUAAUUCACGUAAUAUAAUAUUACGGCAUAAUAUUAUUAUUAUUAUUGCAAUAGGCUUUGUUUGUAAGAAUCUAGAGAUUUUAAGAUACAAAGUACUAAUUUAAAAGUAACUAU
rnacentral:ncRNA from 1 species